CCCCAUAGAUUUUGGCUCCAUCGAGACCUCCUGCCCCAUAGAUUUUGGCCCCAUAGAGACCUUCUGACUCAUAGAUUUCCCUCUCCUGCCCCAUAGAUUUCAGUCUCCUGCCCCAUAGAGGCCUCCUGCCCCAUAGAUUUUGGCCCCAUAGGGACCUUCGGACCCAUAGAUUUCUCUCUCCUGCCCCAUAGAUUUCAGUCUCCUGCCCCAUAGAGGCCUCCUGCCCCAUAGAUUUUGACCCCAUAGAGACCUUCAGACCCAUAGAGACCUUCAGACCCAUAGAUUUUGGUCUCUUGCCCCAUAGAUUUUGGCCCCAUAGAUUUUGCUCUCCUGCCCCAUAGAUUUCAGCCUCCAGCCCCAUAGAUGUAAUCGACCCCAUAGAUUUCGGUCUCCUGCCCCAUAGAUUUCGGUCUCCUGCCCCAUAGAUCCGUGCCCCAUAGCUCUCCCUCCCCUAUAGCUACAGCUGGACCCACAACCCUGCUCCAUAGCUCCGUGCUGCCCCAUAGAUUUCUGCCCCAUAGCUCUGAGCUGCCCCAUAGCUGUUUCUGCCCCAUAGAUCCGUGCAGCCCCAUAGAUUCUGCCCCAUAGAUCCGUGCCCCAUAGCUCUCCCUGCCCCAUAGAUGCUGCCCCAUAGAUUCACCCCAUGGCUGCCCCAUAGAUUUCUGCCCCAUAGAUCCGUGCCCCAUAGAUCCGUGCCCCAUAGAUCUGUGCUGCCCCAUAGAUCUGCCCCCAUAGAUUUCUGCCCCACAGCUCUCCCUGCCCCACAGCUCUGCCCCAUAGAUCCGUGCCCCAUAGCUCUCCCUACCCUAAAGCUACAGCUGGACCCCACAGCUCUGCCCCAUAGAUUCUGCCCCAUAGAUCCGUGCUGCCCCAUAGAUCCGUGCCCCAUAGAUUUCUGCCCCAUAGCUCUACUAGCCCUAUAGCUACAGCCGGACCCACAGCUCUGCCCCAUAGAUUCUGCCCCAUAGAUCCUGCUGCCCCAUAGAUCCAUGCUGCCCCAUAGCUCUACCAGCCCCAUAGCUACGGCUGGACCCACAGCUCUGCCCCACAGAUUCUGCCCCAUAGAUCCGUGCCCCAUAGCUCUACUAGCCCUAUAGCUACAGCUGGACCCCCAGCUCUGCCCCACAGCUUUCCCUGCCCCAUAGAUCCGUGCUGCCCCAUAGAUCCGUGCUGCCCCAUAGAUGCUGCCCCAUAGCUCUCCCUGCCCCAUAGAUGCUGCCCCAUAGAUUCACCCCAUGGAUACCCCAUUGAUUUCUGCCCCAUAGAUCCGUGCCCCAUAGCUCU
rnacentral:lncRNA from 1 species